UCCGUAGGUGAACCUGCGGAGGGAUCAUUGCUGGAACACGCCUCGCGGCGUACCCAGAAACCCUUUUGUGAACUUAUACCUUUUAUCGUUGCCUCGGCACGGCCCGGGGGGCGCUUCAGCCCCUCCCAGCCUCGCGGCUGGAGAAGGCCUGCCGGUGGCCCAAUAAACUCUUGUUUUCUGAACGUAUCUCUUCUGAGUAACAAACAAAAAAAAAAUGAAUCAAAACUUUCAACAACGGAUCUCUUGGUUCUGGCAUCGAUGAAGAACGCAGCGAAAUGCGAUAAGUAAUGUGAAUUGCAGAAUUCAGUGAAUCAUCGAAUCUUUGAACGCACAUUGCGCCCGCUGGUAUUCCAGCGGGCAUGCCUGUUCGAGCGUCAUUUCAACCCUCAAGCUCCCGUGCUUGGUGUUGGGGCACAGCCUUGUCAAAGAGGCUGGCCCUCAAAUUUAGUGGCGAGCUCGCUAAGACUCCGAGCGUAGUAAUUACUUCUCGCUUAGGUUGACUUAGCGGCCCUCUGCCGUAAAACCCCCUAAAUUUUUCUGAAAGUUGACCUCGGAUCAGGUAGGAAUACCCGCUGAACUUAAGCAUAUCAAUAAGCGGAGGA
rnacentral:rRNA from 1 species